UACGUGGGGGGCUAGCGUUGUCCGGAAUCAUUGGGCGUAAAGAGCGUGUAGGCGGCCUGGUAGGUCAGCUGUGAAAACUCGAGGCUCAACCUCGAGACGCCGGUUGAAACCAUCAGGCUAGAGUCCGGAAGAGGAGAGUGGAAUUCCCGGUGUAGCGGUGAAAUGCGCAGAUAUCGGGAAGAACACCCGUGGCUAAGGCGGCUCUCUAGUACGGUACUGACGCUGAGACGCGAAAGCGUGGGGAGCGAACAGG
rnacentral:rRNA from 1 species